GUGCCCGCUUUGGCAGCACAUAUACUAAAAUUGGAACAAUACAGAGAAGAUUAGUGUGCCCCUACACAAUGAUGGCAUCCAAAUUCAUGAAGCAUUCCAUAUUUUU
ensembl:snRNA U6 U6 spliceosomal RNA